CCUACGGGUGGCAGCAGUGGGGAAUAUUGGGCAAUGGAGGCAACUCUGACCCAGCAACGCCGCGUGAGCGAUGAAGGUCUUCGGAUUGUAAAGCUCUUUAAGCGGGGACGAAGUAAGUGACUUUACCCGUUGAAUAAGACUCGGCUAACUACGUGCCAGCAGCCGCGGUAAUACGUCGGGGGCAAGCGUUAGCCGGAAUGACUGGGCGUAAGGGGUGGGUAGGUGGCUUGGCAAGUUGGUAGCGUAAUCCCGGGGCUCAACCUCGGUGCUACUACCAAGACUGUUGAACUAGAGUGCAGGAGGGGUAAAUGGAAUUCCUAGUGUAGCGGUGGAAUGCGUAGAUAUUAGGAAGAACACCAGCGGCGAAGGCGAUUCACUGGACUGUAACUGACGCUGAGGCACGAAAGCGUGGGGAGCAAACAGGAUUAGAUACCCGUGUAGUC
rnacentral:rRNA from 1 species